UACGUAGGGGGCAAGCGUUGUCCGGAUUUAUUGGGCGUAAAGAGCGUGUAGGCGGUUUGGUAGGUCCGCUGUGAAAACUCGAGGCUCAACCUCGAGACGCCGGUGGAAACCAUCAGGCUAGAGUCCGGAAGAGGAGAGUGGAAUUCCUGGUGUAGCGGUGAAAUGCGCAGAUAUCAGGAAGAACACCCGUGGCUAAGGCGGCUCUCUAGUACGGUACUGACGCUGAGACGCGAAAAGCGUGGGGAGCGAACAGGG
rnacentral:rRNA from 1 species